ACUUCCGUAUGCCACAAGUGUGUUGCUGAAAAGAAAAAAAAGAAUUUAAGGAGCAAAGUCUUCCCAGUGAGAUUAGGGUAUAGGAUCCAAUAUCAGCAUGGUGCUGCAGAACAUUGACUUUCAGCUCUACCCACUAUCUUAGCAUUCAUCAUUUGGAACAUUUGGCCUUCCGCUAGUACAAUCUAACCCUUGGAUUAUAGCACUUCUACUUGGUGGAACCUUGGCUGAGGUCCUGCUCUACCACGUCCGCUCUCUGCCAAGAUUGAUUGCAUUAACCCCCAUGCUAUAGCUCGUUUUUAGAAGCAGCAGGCCAAAUUUCUCUCCAGGAAGUCAGCCUGUAGCAUAUCAGUUAAGUUAACCCUUCUCUCUCAAAUUUCCAGGAGCAUCCCUGAUAGUAGGUCCAGAACCCAGACUGCCUAGUAUAGGGGCCAGGAGGGCAGGGCCAGUGGUAGGAGCAUGAGUUUCAUGGUUGGAUGGGUUUUUCAGGAUAACGAUGUCUCCAUAGGCUGGGAAUCCAAUGAUGAGCUUCUCAGCUGGGGCCCCAUUGCCCUUCCAGUGCUUCUUGGUUUAACCUUGCAAAGGUAGCAGUUUAGCUAGAGACCCCACCCUACUGAUGACCUAGUAAUAUGUAUUAGCUAAGCUUUUUUUUGAGUGGUUGUUCCUGCUGUAUAAAGUAUUUGCAAUGUGUUUCAGAGCAUCAUUGAUAUAUCUCUGUUGAAGUGGUAUGUAUCCCAACAAAUGUCUUUCAAUAACAUAUCAGUAUGUAGGCUUUAGAUAUAGCCUUCCCACUAAAAAUGUAUGCGAGAAGGACAAAGGGGGUUUUUUCAUGAUUUUUCUUGGUAUGAUCCAUUGCCGAAUGGCUGAAAUCCUGUAUGGCAUACAUACGCAAGAGAUUAUCAUAGUAGAAAAAAGUCAAGACAGAAGGGGAAGAGAUGAAGGAGGAGGUGGGAGACAUGUUCUGUAAUUUAUGGGGAAAACAUGAGUAAGGGUACUUAAUCUUCUUUAUUUAAAAAAAAGCACAGGUUGUUAAUCUUGUUUCCUAUCUAAUAAAAUUAUCAGUACAGUAUUAAUUAAUUGGUGAAUUUUUAGUAAGUGGAAACUGGCUAAUGACAUAACAGGCUGAUUUCUCAUUUAAGAAAAUUACUAAAUUUAUGAUGCCUUUUGUCCCUGAUCCUCCCUGUGAUUUACAGCAGCAUUCCUGGUCUGCCUUUGGGUCUGUGCGGGGACUCCACAUGGUUGGUGAUGCUGCCAGUGCCAGGCAAAAGAUGAGACUUCCCAAACCGCCUAAACAAGGUUCCUGAACAGCAGGCCGACUAAGAAUGAGUGUCUCUUGCACAACUGAUACACAGAGGAGUUAUGGGACAUGUUAUCACUCACUGGGACAGCUGGGGGAUCUCAUAGCCAGACUGGAUGUUGGAGAUGCCAGCAGCUACCGCAGCGGUGACCAUCAGCUUGGGUUUGUUGAUCUCCUCGGCUUUCCGUCCGUGCAUAUUCCACACAUGGGUAGAAGAAAAUCCGUGGACAUCAACUCAACGUUGACUUCCAGCACUACUCUGAGUUCAGUUAGUCUCUCCCAUCCUUCGUUCCUCGCAUCCUCCCUGGAAUGGAGUCUCCAGAUCCUUCCUCUCCAACUGAGGUUGUAGGAGCUAGGCUUUCUAUAUGGCCUCAGUUUUCUUGCAUGAGAAACUGGUUGUCUGCUUUCCAGUCAAGAUCACAUAUGCACCAGUUCACCUGCACCAGGACGGGGAAGAGACGCUUAUCCUGAGGAGCGCUUGUGAGAGCUAGGGUUCUUCCAAACUCCUAUUGGUGCAGGAAUUUGGUGCCUAAGGCGAUAGGAGUCUGGGGGUUCUCAGUAGUGGAAACGGUGGCAGCCAACAGCCCAAAGAAGGCAGGGUGAGGCCUUGGUCAUCCCAGCAAGCUUGUCGUGAAAUCAGUGUAGAAAAUCAUCUUGAAAAGUUCCUGGAGCGGCUCCGAAAUCCCAGCUGCCAACAGCCGGAAGAGUUUUCACAUGACUCCUUUUGAGGGAAGAGAAGCAAAGAGUUGUGUCAGAACAAAUGGAAAGAAAGAUUAAGUUAUUUCAGCCUCAGCUGUUGGAGUGAUUGGGAGGCGAGGGAAGAGCUCAUGCAGCCUCUCAUGCUGGUUUUCUCCAUUCUCACACUUCUGUCCUAAAUAGUGAGAGUGGCUGGAGUCGGUGACCUAAGGUUGCUCUGUUUCAAUGUCUCCCCGCAUCUAAUUACUCCCUUUGGAGUAAAGCCCCCAACUCAGGACACCACUGUGUCAUCAUUGCCAGCUUUGGGGCCCUUCCAAGUGCAAGAAUUGUUUUCAUCUGAGCCCAUCAGUACCCAGACUUUCCCAAAUUUCCCUUGGCGACAGAGCCAUAUUUCAAAUGACAAGCACCUCCUGUGAGCCAGCAAUUUCCCUUAUGUGAGAGUCAUCACUGUGCUGGAAAUAAUAAGAAAGCUCAGAAAGUAUCUGUGUGCUACUUGUUUGCCUGUUUGGAAUUUCAGCCUGGAGGUGGCUGCGGAAGCUUUUUUUCAAACUGUUCUUGAAGGUGAAAAGAUUUUGUAUCUCAGCGCUUUCAUCACUUACUUGUUUUUCAGUUCAAGCAGAGUUUGGCAGAGAGUUACAUCCUUUCAUUUAAUGGUGCCAUCUCAUUUCCCACAUCUCUCAGCAAUGGCAUAAGUUGGUAGAAGGACAGAGAGUCAUGCCGAGUUUCUGGAUUAUGAAGAAACAAAAAAAGGAACGCCGCGGUGGUGUCACCCCCAAGGAAGACAUACUCAUCGCAGCUGUCAGCACGAGGAGCAGAGCUUAAGGCAACAGAGAGCAGCUGGAGGAACACAUCUGCGAACAGAGGGGCCUUUGUGAUCUAGUGCUUCGCCUGCGGAGUUGCUGUCAUGGAUCGGCAGUUAAUGAAUCUAUUACCUGUGAGGACUCAGGUUUGAUCCCUGGCCUUUCACAGUGGGUUAAGGA